GACGAACGCUGGCGGCGUGCUUAACACAUGCAAGUCGAACGGAAAGGCCCUGCUUUUGUGGGGUGCUCGAGUGGCGAACGGGUGAGUAACACGUGAGUAACCUGCCCUUGACUUUGGGAUAACUUCAGGAAACUGGGGCUAAUACCGGAUAGGAGCUCCUGCUGCAUGGUGGGGGUUGGAAAGUUUCGGCGGUUGGGGAUGGACUCGCGGCUUAUCAGCUUGUUGGUGGGGUAGUGGCUUACCAAGGCUUUGACGGGUAGCCGGCCUGAGAGGGUGACCGGCCACAUUGGGACUGAAAUACGGCCCAGACUCCUACGGGAGGCAGCAGUGGGGAAUAUUGCACGAUGGGCGGAAGCCUGAUGCAGCAACGCCGCGUGCGGGAUGACGGCCUUCGGGUUGUAAACCGCUUUCGCCUGUGACGAAGCGUGAGUGACGGUAAUGGGUAAAGAAGCACCGGCUAACUACGUG
rnacentral:rRNA from 1 species